AGAAAGCUGGAUUUUGAGCCCAAAUACUGUGAGAAGCAGAGAAACAAACAAGAUUUUUUUACUGCAGUUGAAUUUUCUGCAGAGGAUCCUUAUGGCAAAGCAGUGGCUUUGCUUGACUUUAAGUCUGCCACUCUUAUGGUACAAUUUUGCCUUCUCAUUAAAUCUGACUAGAAUUCUAGUUAGAGAAUCUUUUUGGCCGCUUUUCUAUUCAUUGCUCUUUAUUUUAAAAUGAAUUAACAGGUAAAAGAAGAAUGGUUGGUGCUGCCUGCAAUCGUUUCAGCGUUUAUACUUGCUGAUAUUUUGAAGAAUGAACGGUAUGGAGGCUUCAUUAUUAAAGGAGAAAAUUUGGAGAAGUUGGAUGGUAAUGUGGAAAAGGUCAGUAGGUUCCACGAGGAAGCCAAACAAAUCGAACAGGCUACUUCUGUAGAAAGUAAACUGGAGUUGAAUGGUAAUGCAAUAAAGAGUGGAGGCUGUGGUAGCGGUUGUGGUGGUGGAUGCAGGAACAUGGUAAAAAGCAGAGGCUGCGGAGGUGGUUGUGGUGGUGGAUGCGGAAACAGGAACAUGGUAAAAAGCGGAGGCUGUGGUGGCAGUUGUGGUGGUGGAUGUGCAAAUGUGGUAAAAAGUGGAGGCUGUGGUGGCGGUUGUGAUGGUGGUGGAUGUGGAAACGUGAUCAAUAAUGAUGGCAAUGGGCUUGGAGGUAUGGUGGAGAGUGCCGAUUGUGGUGGCUGUGGAGCCAGUUGUGUAGACAAAACAUCAAAUGAAACCAAUAUUGGUAACUCCCACAUUGAUUCUUCCCCCAUAGAAUCAGCCACCUAUGCAACUGAAGGAACCGUUGUUUGAUCAUAUGAAACUCAUAAAUGCAUGCAAUUACUAAAGCAUUCUUAAAUAAGGUUCAUUAGAAAAUGAAUAAGAUUCUCAUCAUGAAGUGUGGUGAAGGAAUAAGGUUUGGUUACUGUGGUAUGUAUCUCUACAUACGGUGUCUAUUACAAAAAGUUCUUUACUUCUCCAAUUCAUGUAUCCAACAGUUACUUGUUUACUUGUGUUAUCUUUCUGUGUCCUCUAAACUUGGCGAUUGCCAUAUUUCUGUUUUCUUUAUUCGAAUGAAUUUGUCAUGAAAGCGUGUGAUAUGAGCUGUUUGCCUUGGAUUCCAUUACAUUGAUAUCUCAGUUUUGU
rnacentral:misc_RNA from 1 species